rnacentral:lncRNA from 1 species
CUCAACUCAGACUUACAAUGUUCAUAAUUUGGUCCGCUUAAAUAGUCAUGUUAGCGCGCCACAACCUCACACAUCGUACACACAAGUUCAAGCUCCACUAGCUCCGAAGUUACGACAUGGUCUCAGAAGCGCGCGCUAACGAACUGCAAAACAUUACAAAUGGAUAUUUUACAAUUCAGGAAUGUGAUUGUACGUGGAAGGAGGACGAUCGUCAGGCCUUAUCGGAAACGGUCCUACCACUAAGAUAUCUCUAGUCGACCUGGCCUGGUCCCGGUUUAUGGAUGUGUGUUGGAGGUUGUGUUUGUAAGGGAUUUGUAUUCGUUACCGAGUAGGUAUGGUUUGGUACGACUCUGUGUCGUGCAUGGCUUCGUCAGACUAUUUAAGGCAUUCCUACAACACCAUUUGUAAGCUUAGCAUUCUUCUCUUCCUUGUCUAUCAGCCAGCGUCGGAAGUCGGGCUCUGCAGACCUGGCAGUUCCUUUCAGUGUGCCUCGCGGCCAUCAGCUCACUUCGCCUCGGUCGCCGUUUGUUGUUUAGGGAGGGUCUUCGGGCCAACGUGGGCCUGUCUAUGUCAACACGUAAUCGCAUUACUUAAGAAGAAAUCUCUGACUUUUGGGUCCGUUUAACUGCUUUUGCGGCAGGGGAUAACCUGCCAAAACGUUGGAAACACGUGCCUCACAAGCACCCUUUCUUGUGUGUCAACGGCGCAAACAAGGUUGUUUGCCGUCUACCGGUGUACAAUGAUGAGGUCUGAGGGCUCACGUCUGAGCCUCAUCUUUUUUGUAUGAGCGUACUAACUGAAGUUUUGUGUCUUAUGAAGUUAGUACGGCCUGGCCGAGUUCUUUUUGAAUAAGGCCCACAGUGUAGUGCGGCAGGCGUUUCUUGGGAUGCUGCACUUGACCCGUUCGGGAUCCACUGUAACAUAAGGCAUUCUGGUCCCGACCAACCCAUAACUUGAGAGCCACCUCCAACUACAACAACAUUUUUCAUGAUCCUUUUUGAAAUCCGAGCACGGGACUUGCAUUGCUCUUUUAUUCCUUACUGCUUACAACCGGCGGUUGACGUAUGCUUGAUGAUCUUGCGUCACGACCUUCACCUCCGACGCCCGCCUAAUGGCCAAGAACAUCAACGCUGUCCAAGCCGCCUGCACCGUUGGGAUUGCACGUCCACAUUCUAUAUGCUGCUAAAUGUUUUUAUUUGGCCCCAAGUCUCGGUUUGGGAGACUACUGGAAACACCACGACCUCUACCGCACCUCUAAAUCUCCUCUAAGUUUCCAGUGCGGAUUAAGGCCAGGGAUUAGGGCAUGGAACUCCUUGGUACGAGCUUACCACAUUGUUUCGUUCCAUAAGGAAACCAAAGGUUGGAAAAGCGAGAUAAGUUUGCCAAGAACUUAGCCGUUUGAGCAAGUAUCGAUGGAGGGCAGAGGGUUAAUCCGCACUGGAAAUGCACCCUAACAGGGUAUUUCCACUAGGCCGCACACUAACUUUUG